AUUUUUUUGACAGCAUAGCACAGUUAAGGCAACAGGCUGAACAAAUAGCAUUGAAAAGCAAUCAGUGUAUAGUGAACAAUUCACAAUUAAACUUGGGAUGCAGUAUAGUCUGCAGGUACCACAUAGUAUGUGCCUCCAAGACUAACAGCUAAAGUCUCCUUGUGUGGGGGAUGAAAAUAGGGCACUGAUGAAUAAGCCAAUGGAGUCUUUGACUCAGUCAGUAAGGAUUGACUCUGUCAAUAAGAGAUGACUUGACCAGGUAGAGAUAACUCACGGAAUGCUCACGGAGCGAUAGCCUGGUUGGUGAAACAAGGCAAGGUAUUAAUUCAUUCACAUUGUAUCACACUAAGGGUAACGUUACAAAGGAAAGAUCAGUUAAGUACUGUGUAUAUUUUUUUAAACUUUCAACAAUUUCUGUUUCUUAUCA